rnacentral:lncRNA from 1 species
UGAAGAGUGAUCUAGCCUUGGUCACUUUUGUGCUGAGCCUUUCUGAUGCAGCUGCAUUUGUUCUCCAGGCCAACCCCAACAGCGAAGAGAUCUGGCUGGCGGCUGUGAAGCUGGAGUCAGAGAACAAUGAGUACGAGCGAGCCCGGAGGCUGCUGGCCAAGGCCCGGAGCAGCGCACCCACCGCCCGUGUGUUCAUGAAGUCUGUGAAGCUGGAGUGGGUGCUGGGGAACAUCACUGCCGCACAGGAGCUGUGCGAGGAGGCUCUGAGGCACUAUGAAGAUUUCCCCAAGCUGUGGAUGAUGAAGGGGCAGAUUGAGGAGCAAGGAGAGCUGAUGGAGAGGGCCCGGGAGGCCUACAACCAGGGGUUGAAGAAAUGUCCUCACUCCACGCCACUGUGGCUCUUGCUUUCCCGGCUAGAGGAAAAGAUUGGGCAGCUGACUCGUGCUCGGGCCAUUUAAGGCGCUGCAGGAGUGCCCUAACUCUGGUAUCCUGUGGUCUGAAGCUGUCUUCCUUGAGGCAAGGCCCCAGAGAAAGACCAAGAGUGUGGAUGCCCUGAAGAAGUGUGAACAUGACCCCCAUGUGCUUUUAGCUGUGGCUAAGCUGUUCUGGAGUGAAAGAAAGAUCACCAAGGCUCGGGAGUGGUUCCAUCGCACCGUGAAGAUUGAUUCAGAUCUGGGGGAUGCCUGGGCCUUCUUCUACAAAUUUGAACUACAGCAUGGCACUGAGGAGCAACAGGAAGAGGUGAGGAAACGCUGUGAGAAUGCAGAGCCCCGACAUGGAGAGCUGUGGUGUGCUGUGUCCAAGGAUAUCACCAACUGGCAGAGAAAGAUUGGGGAAAUCCUAGUGCUGGUGGCCGCCCGUAUCAAAAACACCUUCUGAUAGCAGGGGCGGAGGACAAGGCACUUUGGGGCAGCACAUGGACAAUGAGCACAAAACCUACACUGUAUCUUUUAUUCAUUAAAGAUUUUUAUAGAGUUG